rnacentral:lncRNA from 1 species
GGAAUGCAGUGGCGUCAUCUCGGCUCACUGCAACCUCUGCCUCCUGCAUUCAAGCAAUUCUCCUGCCUCAGCCUCCUGGGUAGCUGGGAUUACAGGAGCCUGCCACCACGCCCAGUUAACUUUUUGUAUUUUUAGUAGAGACGGGGUUUUGCCAUAUUGGCUAGGCUGGUCUUGAACUCCUGACCUCGGGUGAUCCAGCCACCUCAGCUUUCCAAAGUGCUUGGAUUAUAGCCGUGAGCCACCAUGCCCGGCGUGGUGCUGUUUCAGAUUGGUUCCAAGGAAUUUGGGAAAGUUGCAUUCCUUACUUUCCUUGAAUAUAAAAGUGGAGGCAGUGAUAAAAUCUACUUCCCUGGAUGGACUCUUGGCAGAAAUCAGUGAGACAGCCCAUGCACAAGUAAUGCCUACAUUCAUAAAAAGAAAAAUCACUACUUGAAAGACUUGAUGUUGUCAUGUUUGUUGAAGAAUGUUCCUGAGACAAUCUUGGAAAUGUGAGUGAGAAGUGGGAUUUGGCAGAAUCUGGAAAGUUGGUCUUCAAUCUGAUUGUAAUCCACUUGGAAAGAAGAACAUCAACCAGUGAAAGACUUAAUGCAUCUGCAUGAAUGUAAAUCAAUCAAAUAGAUAUUUAAGAAACUUGUUCCUUUGCUGCCAUUUCAAAAGUCAAUACCAUGUAAUAUUCUAGAACAGGUCAUGACAAAGUUCAACAUAAAAGGAAAUAACGUUUUACUAAAUGCAUAAAGAUUUAUAUAAUUUAAGGCUUUUGCAAACGUAUAGUUUUCACAGUGAUGACCUGCAUAUUAUAGAUUUGUGAAAUUUUAAGUUUUAAUGUAAUCACAAAUCUAUAACAUACAAGUCAUCAUUGUGCUUUUCAGCACUAAGAAAUCUAUUCUUCCACUGAUGUGUGAAAGAUUUAAGUGACCAGACACUCCUAACAGUAAUAGCUUUGCUCUUUUUCCCUCAUGCAUCUGUACCAGAUAUUAUUGCCCAGAGGACUCUGAGCAGUGUUUCUGUGUAUAUUUAAGAAUUAAACGGUAAAAUUCUACUAAAUCAUAAUGCCAACAUGAUAAAAUAUCUGCAGUAAUCAUGUCCAUCAGAUAAUGACAAUAAAACAUUAUUAUUCCAUUAAAACUAAGGAGAGAAAUCAACUAAAAUUUGUAUGCAGGAGUAUUAGUUCUUACACAUUUUUAAGAAACAUUUGUUUACAAGUGCUGGUAAUUUUUAAAAAGUUAACUAAACUGCUUAAAUUGUAUUAGUAACAAUUUCAGGUUUACUAAAUUGUUUAUAAGCACCGCAGCUCUAUCAUUUUUAACCUUGGGUUGUAAAUAUAUAAUAUAAUAUAAACAUGUAAGUGUGUUUGUAUGUAUGUCUG